rnacentral:rRNA from 1 species
UUGAACGCUGGCGGCAGGCCUAACACAUGCAAGUCGAGCGGAUGAAGGGAGCUUGCUCCUGGCUUCAGCGGCGGACGGGUGAGUAAUGCCUAGGAAUCUGCCUGGUAGUGGGGGAUAACGUCCGGAAACGGGCGCUAAUACCGCAUACGUCCUGAGGGAGAAAGUGGGGGAUCUUCGGACCUCACGCUAUCAGAUGAGCCUAGGUCGGAUUAGCUAGUUGGUGGGGUAAAGGCCUACCAAGGCGACGAUCCGUAACUGGUCUGAGAGGAUGAUCAGUCACACUGGAACUGAGACACGGUCCAGACUCCUACGGGAGGCAGCAGUGGGGAAUAUUGGACAAUGGGCGAAAGCCUGAUCCAGCCAUGCCGCGUGUGUGAAGAAGGUCUUCGGAUUGUAAAGCACUUUAAGUUGGGAGGAAGGGCAGUAAGUUAAUACCUUGCUGUUUUGACGUUACCAACAGAAUAAGCACCGGCUAACUUCGU